GACGAACGCUGGCGGCGUGCUUAACACAUGCAAGUGGAGCGACGAACCGGGGCUUGCCCCGGGGCAGAGCCGCGAACGGGUGAGUAACACGUGGGUAACCCACCCGAUGAUUGGGACAACCCGAGGAAACUCGGGCUAAUACCAAAUGUGCCCUUGGUCCAUGAGGACCUCGAGUAAAGAUAGCUUCGGCCUUCGCAUCGGGACGGGCCCGCGGCCCAUUAGCUUGUUGGUGAGGUAACGGCUCACCAAGGCGACGAUGGGUAGCUGGUCUGAGAGGACGAUCAGCCACACUGGGACUGAGACACGGCCCAGACUCCUACGGGAGGCAGCAGUGGGGAAUCUUGCGCAAUGCGCGAAAGCGUGACGCAGCAACGCCGC
rnacentral:rRNA from 1 species